rnacentral:rRNA from 1 species
UACGGAGGGUGCGAGCGUUGUCCGGAAUCAUUGGGCGUAAAGGGCGCGUAGGUGGCGGGACAAGCGUGCGGUGAAAGCCUGGGGCUCAACCCCGGGUCGGCCGUGCGAACUGUUUUGCUUGAGCACUGUAGAGGCAGGCGGAAUUCCGGGUGUAGCGGUGGAAUGCGUAGAGAUCCGGAAGAACACCGGUGGCGAAGGCGGCUCUCUGGGACGGUACUGACGCUGAGGCGCGAAAGCGUGGGGAGCAAACAGG